rnacentral:rRNA from 1 species
CGAGCGGAUGAGGGAGCUUGCUCCUGGAUUCAGCGGCGGACGGGUGAGUAUGCCUAGGAAUCUGCCUGGUAGUGGGGGAUAACGUCCGGAAACGGGCGCUAAUACCGCAUACGUCCUGAGGGAGAAAGUGGGGGAUCUUCGGACCUCACGCUAUCAGAUGAGCCUAGGUCGGAUUAGCUAGUUGGUGGGGUAAAGGCCUACCAAGGCGACGAUCCGUAACUGGUCUGAGAGGAUGAUCAGUCACACUGGAACUGAGACACGGUCCAGACUCCUACGGGAGGCAGCAGUGGGGAAUAUUGGACAAUGGGCGAAAGCCUGAUCCAGCCAUGCCGCGUGUGUGAAGAAGGUCUUCGGAUUGUAAAGCACUUUAAGUUGGGAGGAAGGGCAGUAAGUUAAUACCUUGCUGUUUUGACGUUACCAACAGAAUAAGCACCGGCUAACUUCGUGCCAGCAGCCGCGGUAAUACGAAGGGUGCAAGCGUUUAAUCGGAAUUACUGGGCGUAAAGCGCGC